ACGAACGCUGGCGGCGCGCCUAACACAUGCAAGUCGAACGGAGCUUAGAGAGCUUGCUUUUUAAGCUUAGUGGCGAACGGGUGAGUAACGCGUGAGUAACCUGCCCUAGAGUGGGGGACAACAGUUGGAAACGACUGCUAAUACCGCAUAAGCCCACGGUACCGCAUGGUACUGAGGGAAAAGGAUUUAUUCGCUUUAGGAUGGACUCGCGUCCAAUUAGCUAGUUGGUGAGGUAACGGCCCACCAAGGCGACGAUUGGUAGCCGGACUGAGAGGUUGAACGGCCACAUUGGGACUGAGACACGGCCCAGACUCCUACGGGAGGCAGCAGUGGGGGAUAUUGCACAAUGGGGGAAACCCUGAUGCAGCGACGCCGCGUGGAGGAAGAAGGUUUUCGGAUUGUAAACUCCUGUCGUUAGGGACGAUAGUGACGGUACCUAACAAGAAAGCACCGGCUAACUACGUGCCAGCAGCCGCGGUAAAACGUAGGGUGCAAGCGUUGUCCGGAAUUACUGGGUGUAAAGGGAGCGCAGGCGGGAAGACAAGUUGGAAGUGAAAACCAUGGGCUCAACCCAUGAAUUGCUUUCAAAACUGUUUUUCUUGAGUAGUGCAGAGGUAGAUGGAAUUCCCGGUGUAGCGGUGGAAUGCGUAGAUAUCGGGAGGAACACCAGUGGCGAAGGCGGUCUACUGGGCACCAACUGACGCUGAGGCUCGAAAGCAUGGGUAGCAAACAGGAUUAGAUACCCUGGUAGUCCAUGCCGUAAACGAUGAUUACUAGGUGUUGGGGGAUUGACCCCCUCAGUGCCGCAGUUAACACAAUAAGUAAUCCACCUGGGGAGUACGACCGCAAGGUUGAAACUCAAAGGAAUUGACGGGGGCCCGCACAAGCAGUGGAGUAUGUGGUUUAAUUCGAAGCAACGCGAAGAACCUUACCAGGUCUUGACAUCCGAUGCAUAGCACAGAGAUGUGUGAAAUCCUUCGGGACAUCGAGACAGGUGGUGCAUGGUUGUCGUCAGCUCGUGUCGUGAGAUGUUGGGUUAAGUCCCGCAACGAGCGCAACCCUUAAGCUUAGUUGCCAUCAUUAAGUUGGGCACUCUAAGUUGACUGCCGGUGACAAACCGGAGGAAGGUGGGGAUGACGUCAAAUCAUCAUGCCCCUUAUGACCUGGGCUACACACGUACUACAAUGGCGUUAAACAAAGAGAAGCAAGACCGCGAGGUGGAGCAAAACUCAAAAACAACGUCUCAGUUCAGAUUGCAGGCUGCAACUCGCCUGCAUGAAGUCGGAAUUGCUAGUAAUCGCGGAUCAGCAUGCCGCGGUGAAUACGUUCCCGGGCCUUGUACACACCGCCCGUCACACCACGAGAGUUUGUAACACCCGAAGUCGGUGAGGUAACCUUUUUGGAGCCAGCCGCCUAAGGUGGGAUAGAUGAUUGGGGUG
rnacentral:rRNA from 1 species